rnacentral:lncRNA from 1 species
CCAUCUCUUCCUUUCACAUAGCUAAGCUCUAACUAGAGAACCCGCUGAGAAAUCCCACACAACUCUGGCCGGCGUGGGGGUUUAUUUUGUAGGUUUCCCCUUCUGGUAGGUCACAAUAUUUUUAAAUUUUUGCUCUUUUUACUUCUUUUUCCUCACUUUCAACUGUGAUUGGCGUAGCAAUUUAUCUCUUUAAGCCCUAAAAAAUAUCUAAAAAUUUAAUCUUGAUUACUGAUUUCUUGCAUUUUGCUUUUAAUUUUAUGGAUAGUCUUCUUGAAGAUUUAAAAUAAAAAUAAGUAGAAAUAUGGGUCUAUUUAUUUACUUAUAAAUUUGGGCUGCUAUUCGAUGUGGGUAAACAUUUCUCAUGGAUGUGUUAAUUUUUGUUGAAUCUUGUUGCUGGUAUAUUUCUAUCAAAAGUUUUAAGAUUUAAGUAAUAGAAGACUACUCCCAUAUUUAUCUUGUAUUUUUAAUUUCUGGUGGGUUGGAGUGUGUGGUUUGGAUUCUUAAUUUAUUUGCUCAGACCUAUAGGUGUGAGGUGUGUUUCUGUAUUUUCUAUAUUUAGUUGUAGUUUUUUGUUUGAAGACAAUUCCUUCGUAGAACAUUGGAGGUAUAUUCUUAUUUAUUUGCUAUUACAUCUCUUGAACAGUAAGGUUUCAUUCAAUCUCGUGAUUUGGUAAAAAAAUACAAUUUGAUUACUUCUUAUUUUAUUUAUUCCAGAAGCUUUGAUCCAUCACUAGUUUUUCAAUUUGUAAUUUUUUAAUUUAAUUAUAAUCUUAAGUGACCUCUUUGAACAGUCUUUUGAACUGUGUUUUUGUUUCAUCUUUAGCCUUAAUGGCUGAAUAAUGAGAAUUGAGAAGUAAUUAUAAGUUAUAUUUCUCAAGGAUGCUUCUUCUUUAUAAUUAGAUGACUUAGGUUACUGGUGCUCUGUUGUGUUGUGUAUACCAUAUAAAAUAGGUAAUAGACUAAUUUGUCUUCAUUCUACAGUUCAUUCGGUCAAGUUAGGAUGAAGAUUCUUCUUUGUUAAGUUUUGUGGUGAUGUAGUAUUUUAUGGUUGUGUUGUGGUGUUUGAAUGCUCUGUAAUAUCAUACUUUCUAGUAUGACUCAAAAUAUGUUCUAUCUACUAUUCAUCUUAAUAAGCAAAAUAAUCCUGCCUGAAUUCUAAGUAUAGGAAAAUGAGUAUCCAAUGCAAGACAUUGUUUCUUUUCUUCUGCUUCUUAGCUUCGUGAUUUACUUUUGCUGUUAUAUUAGAUAUUCAAUAGUUAAUGGAUAAUGGAGAUAAAAGUUGGAUGGGUCUCCGAAUAUCAAUGUAGGAGUACAUCUACGGAGUUAGCGAUUUUCUUGAUAAGGCAUUUUAACGAGCUGCCCAAGGAAAUGAAAUAUUAUGCCCUUGCAAAAAAUGCGUUAACUGUUAUUAGCAUUAUAGAAAUAUAGUGGAGGAUCACUUGGUUGCCUAUGGGUUUCUUACUGGAUACACCAAAUGGAUUUUUCAUGGGGAAAAUUUUUCCUCAAGAAAUACUCUACGGUCAAGCAAUGAUGAGGAUGAUUCUAACAUGCAUGGCGAUAUUGAUGGACUACUUCAUAAUACUUUUAGAAAUAUAGAGGGUGAAGUGAGAGGGACCAUCUGAAGAUGCAAAGAAAUUUUUUAAAUUACUAGAGGAAGGGAAGCAAGAGUUAUACCUGGGGUGUGCGAAUUUCUCUAAAUUAAGUUUCACCAUUCUAUUGUACUUGUUUAAAUGCAUUCAUGGAUUAAGUAAUGCGGCCUUUUCAGACUUGUUAGACUUGUUAAAAGAGGCAUUUCUAUUUGCUCAGCUACCUGGCUCUUUCAACAAGGCUAAAAACAUAAUUCAAGAUUUGGGUCUUCUCUAUGAAAAAAUACAUGCAUUCCCAAACGAUUGCGUGCUAUUUUGGAACGACAAUGUGAUGAUAGAUAAUUGCACUGUGUGUGUGUAACGACCCAACUGGUCGUUUUGCCUUCUAGAACCCUGUUCCUCUAAAUAAGAUUUUCCAUAUGUGCUUUUACAGUUUUAUGACUUGUGGGGAUGGUUAGUUCAGGAUUUUAAAGGGUUCGGGUUGAGAUCGGAACACUUGGUUCCUUAGUUUGACUUUAAAAAGGUAAGUUUGACUUCGAUCAACGUCUUGAGUAAACGAUCCCGGAAUCGGGAUUUGACGGUUCCAAUAGGUUCGUAUGAUGAUUUUUGACUUGGGCGUAUGCUCGAAUUGAGUUUUGGAUAACCCGGGAGCGUUUCAACGCUUAAUAAUAAAAGUUGACUAUUUGAAGGUUUUAAGGUUCUUUAAAUUUGGGCUGGAGUAGGUUUUGGAGUAAUUGAGGUCUGUUUGGAAUUCUGAGCCUGAAAAUCAUCCCGUACGGUGAUUUAAGCCUUACACGCAAAAUUUAAUGUCAUUCCGAAUAGUUGAAGUAUGAUUUGGCACGUUCGGAGUAAGUUUGAAAAACUUGAAGUUCAUGAGUUGAAUCAAUUUGGUUUGGGGUAUGAUUCUUAGUUUUUAUGUUGUUUUAUGCAUUUCGAGGGUUCAAGCGAGUCCGUUUUAUGAUUUCAAACUUGUUGGUAUGUUCAGGAGGGGCCCCGGGUGUUAACCGGACGAGGCUCGGACCAAGUUUGGACUUAGGAGCAAUUGCUGAAGCUUCCAACUUCUAGUGUAACCGCACCUGUGCAUGGACAGAUGCAAGUGCGAGCUCGCAAAAGCGAGCAAGAAGCCGCAAAAGAGGUCUAGUGGGGGCAACUCGGAAUCCACAGGAGCAGAGUUAUUGGGCGCACCUGCGGGCGCGCAUGAGCGAUGGAGGAAGCCGCAGACCAAGCAGCAUACACGUCGCGAAAGCCGCAGAAGCGGACAUGCAGAAGCGGAAAAAUAGUCCUUAGGUGCGGAUUUUGGCUCAACUGGAGGAGACUACAUCUGCAAGGAUUUUUCCACAGUUGUGGGGCCGCAGAAGCGGCCGUACCUCUGCAAGUGCGAAAAUCACAGAAGGCAAAACCUUCAUUUAAGUCGGGGUUUGAGUAUUUGUAGUCCAUUUUCUCCAUUCUUUGCGAUUUUUGGAGCUUCUUGAGAGUGGUAUUCAUCUAGCAACCUGGAGGUAAGUUUAUUCUACCUAUUGUGAGUUAAAUACAUAGAUUAUGGGUAUAUUCUAACUUGUAAAAUGUGAAAAUUAAGGGUUUAGAUGAAAAAUCUAGGUUUUGAUAAAAAUGAAAUUUUUACCACGAAAAUGGUUAUGGAAUGGGAUGAAAAUUGUAUACUUGAGUUUUAAGAUUGUGGGUAACGAUUUUCUCCGAAAAUUUAUGAAAUCUGGGUACGUGGG